rnacentral:rRNA from 1 species
ACGGGAGGCAGCAGUGGGGAAUAUUGCACAAUGGGCGCAAGCCUGAUGCAGCAACGCCGCGUGAGGGAAGACGGUCUUCGGAUUGUAAACCUUUGUCUUUGGUGAAGAAGAAAGUGACGGUAGCCAAGGAGGAAGCCACGGCUAACUACGUGCCAGCAGCCGCGGUAAUACGAGGGGUGCAAGCGUUGUUCGGAAUCACUGGGCGUAAAGGGAGCGCAGGCGGAGAUGCAAGCAGUCUGUACAAUACCGGGGCCCAACCCCGGACCUGCAGACUGGACUGUUUCUCUUGGAUAGCUCAGGGGCUGGCGGAAUUCCUGGUGUAGCGGUGGAAUGCGUAGAGAUCAGGAAGAACACCGAUGGCGAAGGCAGCCAGCUGGGGGCUUAUCGACGCUCAUGCUCGAAAGUGCGGGUAGCAAACAGGAUUAGAUACCCUGGUA